CCUCUUCUCAGUUCUCUAUUUUUUGUUUGAUUUGAGUGAUGUGUCAAUUACACGGCAAUGUACAUGAAAUUUUAUCUGAUCAGCAUCAUGCACCACUGCUCCAUGAGGAGGUGACAUCAACCCGAUACACCCUUAAUUAAUCUACCUGGGAUUCCAAAGGGAACUGUCCACAUUGAAAUAAGAGUAGCUUCACGUGCAUAUAUGUUGUCAAUGCCCGAGGGAGAGAUGAGAUAUAUAUGAGACUAAAAAAAGUUGUCAAACCUGUUAUGUUUGUUUUUCUUCUUUUAAUUUCUGAUGAAGUGUGAGAUUAGUGCACACAAGCUAGGUUUAUAGCUGGCAGUUGCAUUUACUUGACAGCAAUCCAAAUGUUCCAAUAUCCAGAUUUUAUCAUUUUCUUAGGUUUACACGCUUACAUAUUCCCUAGAAUGGGUUAAAACCCAUUUUAACUUGAUCAUUUCAUCCUAAGACUGGAAAACAGAAAUGAAACCCCACUCUGACCAAAUUGUUCCACAACAAAGUAGUCUCUUCAAAUGGCGUUGCCCUAUAAUAAACCAGUAAGAAAAUAUCUUUUUUCUUUAAAAUGGUAGCAAAAUCUUUGCCGUAAUUUUAUCAGUAGAAAAAUAGAGAUGGACCCAGGCUUUAAUGGAAAAUAGACCCGAAAACCUUACAACUGUGAGAUAAAAACUAAAGACAACUCAACAAGCUUGCCGUACUUAAAAAGACCACAUGGAAGCUGAGCGUGUGGAAGGGCCGGCC
rnacentral:lncRNA from 1 species